GCACUGCUGAGGAGUCGCAUAAUAGGACGAAACGGCCGUCCAGUAC
rnacentral:hammerhead_ribozyme from 1 species